rnacentral:rRNA from 1 species
CGCGUAGGCGGGGAGGUAAGUCGGGUGUGAAAUCCCUCGGCCCAACCGAGGAACUGCGCCCGAGACUGCUUCUCUUGAGUCCCGGAGAGGAAGAUGGAAUUCCCGGUGUAGCGGUGAAAUGUGUGGAGAUCGGGAGGAACACCGGUGGCGAAGGCGGUCUUCUGGACGGUGACUGACGCUGAGGCGCGAAAGCGUGGGGAGCAAAACG